rnacentral:rRNA from 1 species
UGGGGAAUAUUGGGCAAUGGGCGAAAGCCUGACCCAGCAACGCCGCGUGAGUGAUGAAGGCCUUCGGGUUGUAAAACUCUUUGGACAGGGACGAAGAAAGUGACGGUACCUGUAGAACAAGCCACGGCUAACUACGUGCCAGCAGCCGCGGUAAUACGUAGGUGGCAAGCGUUGUCCGGAAUUAUUGGGCGUAAAGCGCGCGCAGGCGGCUACUUAAGUCCAUCUUAAAAGUGCGGGGCUUAACCCCGUGAUGGGAUGGAAACUGAGAAGCUGGAGUGUCGGAGAGGAAGGUGGAAUUCCUAGUGUAGCGGUGAAAUGCGUAGAGAUUAGGAAGAGCACCGGUGGCGAAGGCGACGUUCUGGACGACAGCAGACGCUUAGGCGCGAAAGCGUGGGGGGCAAACAGG